CCUACGGGCGGCAGCAGUGGGGAAUAUUGGACAAUGGGCGAAAGCCUGAUCCAGCCAUGCCGCGUGUGUGAAGAAGGCCUUCGGGUUGUAAAGCACUUUCAGUGGGGAAGAAAGCCUUGGGGCUAAUACCCUCGAGGAAGGACAUCACCCACAGAAGAAGCACCGGCUAACUCCGUGCCAGCAGCCGCGGUAAUACGGAGGGUGCGAGCGUUAAUCGGAAUUACUGGGCGUAAAGCGCGCGUAGGCGGUCUGAUAAGCCGGUUGUGAAAGCCCCGGGCUCAACCUGGGAACGGCAUCCGGAACUGUCAGGCUAGAGUGCAGGAGAGGAAGGUAGAAUUCCCGGUGGAGCGGUGAAAUGCGUAGAGAUCGGGAGGAAUACCAGUGGCGAAGGCGGCCUUCUGGACUGACACUGACGCUGAGGUGCGAAAGCGUGGGUAGCAAACAGGAUUAGAUACCCGGGUAGUC
rnacentral:rRNA from 1 species